rnacentral:rRNA from 1 species
AGAGUUUGAUCCUGGCUCAGAACGAACGCUGGCGGCAUGCCUAACACAUGCAAGUCGAACGGGAUCCUAGCUUGCUAGGUGAGAGUGGCGGACGGGUGAGUAACACGUGGGAAUCUGCCUUUUGGUUCGGGAUAACUUUGGGAAACUAAAGCUAAUACCGCAUACGCCCGAGAGGGGAAAGAUUUAUCGCUGAUUGAUUAGCCCGCGUGAGAUUAGGUAGUUGGUGGGGUAAUGGCCUACCAAGCCUACGAUCUCUAGCUGGUCUGAGAGGAUGAUCAGCCACACUGGAACUGAGACACGGUCCAGACUCCUACGGGAGGCAGCAGUGGGAAUAUUGGGCAAUGGAGGAAACUCUGACCCAGCCAUGCCGCGUGAAUGAUGAAGGCCUUAGGGUUGUAAAGUUCUUUCGCCGAUGAAGAUAAUGACGGUAGUCGGAGAAGAAGCCCCGGCUAACUUCGUG